rnacentral:miRNA from 10 species
CUGGUUUUCUCAUUGGUCAUCUGG